rnacentral:misc_RNA from 2 species
AACGCACAUUGCGCCCGCCAGUAUUCUGGCGGGCAUGCCUGUUCGAGCGUCAUUUCAACCCUCGGGCCCCGCAUUCGUGCGGGCUCCGGCGUUGGGGACCGGCCUCCGCAUCGGACGGCCGCCCCCGAAACCCAGUGGCGGUCCCGCCGCGGCCUUCUCUGCGUAGUAGCAUACACCUCGCACUGGAGAGCGGCGCGGCCACGCCGUAAAAGAAACGAACUUUCUCAAGGUUGACCUCGGAUCAGGUAGGAAUACCCGCUGAACUUAA